rnacentral:rRNA from 1 species
UACGUAGGGGGCUAGCGUUGUCCGGAAUCAUUGGGCGUAAAGAGCGUGUAGGCGGUCCGGUAAGUCCGCUGUGAAAGUCGGGGGCUCAACCCUCGAAUGCCGGUGGAUACUGUCGGGCUAGAGUGCGGAAGAGGCGAGUGGAAUUCCUGGUGUAGCGGUGAAAUGCGCAGAUAUCGGAGGAAGACCUCUGUCGAAGGCAGCUCGCUGGGACGUUACUGACGCUGGAGACGCGAAAGCCGGUAGGGAGCGAACAGGG